rnacentral:rRNA from 1 species
CAGUCGCCACGGGAAUACGUAGGUGGCAAGCGUUGUCCGGAAUUAUUGGGCGUAAAGGGCUCGCAGGCGGUUUCUUAAGUCUGAUGUGAAAGCCCCCGGCUCAACCGGGGAGGGUCAUUGGAAACUGGGAAACUCGAGUGCAGAAGAGGAGAGUGGAAUUCCACGUGUAGCGGUGAAAUGCGUAGAGAUGUGGAGGAACACCAGUGGCGAAGGCGACUCUCUGGUCUGUAACUGACGCUGAGGAGCGAAAGCGUGGGGAGCGAACAGGAUUAGAUACCCGUGUAGUCCCUGUCUCUUAUAC